rnacentral:misc_RNA from 1 species
AUCUCACCUAGGUUUCGAACGUUGUAAUUUGCUUACCAUUCUAUGUACAUGGUCGGUAUUACUGGUCGAUGAAUCGCGAGCUCGACGAAACUCAAACGGAAUUCUGUCGCUCGUUAGACGAUGAAAAACGUUAAAAAACGUAACAAGAUACACACGGAAAAGGACGGAGGAUAACAAAAACAAAGAAAUAGAGGGAGGUCGGUAUUCCUGCAAAAAUUUCGGCUGGAAUAACGAAAUGAAUGCAGAAUCGCUUCGAGUCGGUCGAGUGGCCCACUCGAAACGAAAUACGAUGUGGAUGCGAG